GCUUGCCGUCGGGGACAAAAGCUUCAGGAACGUAGCUCUCUUCGGGGAGUGUUAUAGCCUGUUGCAUAAUACCCUUCGGCGGGCUGAGGUACGCGCUCCGCAAGGAUGCUGGCGUAAUGGUCAUCAGCGA
rnacentral:rRNA from 1 species